AUUUCUUAAUAAUUUUAAGCAAGUUUACUUUAGUUCUUUAAUCUGCUUCUAUUUAUUCUUGGGAUGCCAGUUCUCCUAUCUGUUAUAUGUGCUCACUCCUCCAUGAUGGCUUGUUUCUUCGUGUAGUUUAUAUUUUUUAUUGUGAACUUACUAUCUUCAGUAGUUACUUUUUUUUAUUUUGGAGUAUUUCAUGUAAAAUUCCAUGAGCCCUAGGUUGUAAAAGUGGUCCUGUAAAGUGGUUUGGGUAUGUUGCAAAAUAGGGCCUCACGUAAUUUAAAACAAUGAUUUUUAAAUUAGGUAAUACGUGCCCAAGAUAGAAAAUUCAAAAGGAUAUACUCUACAGUGAAAAAUAAGUCUACUUCCCACUACUACUCCCAGCCACCCUGUUCCCUUCCAAAGAGGCAAAGGACCAGUCUACAUAUUGUUCCAGAGCUAUUUUGGGUGCAAGUACAGGCAUGUGGAUAUCUUCCUCCCCCACCCCCACACCAAUUAUAGUAUCCUAUACAUGCCCUUCACAAUAUUUUAAUAUCACAAGAGCCUUUCAUAGCAGUAUAAAGAGCCAUCUUAUUCUUUUGAAUACAUGCAUAAUAGUCUGUUAUAUGAAUAAGUCAUAAUUGAACAGUCCACUGUUACAUUUGUUUUCAAUCUCCUGUUAUUGCAUGAUGCUGCAAUAUUCAUGUACAUGUCAUUUUACACGUGUGUAAAAUUAUGAUUAUAAAGUAAAUUCCUGGAAAUAAAAUUACUGAGGCUUGGGGUAUGGACAUUUUUAAUUUGGAUACUUGUCUCCAAACUGCCCUUCAGAGAGGUCUUUUUACUUAUUUAUGGGGUUUUUUUUUUUUGAACCACACAAAUUUUUGGUUGUAUGUAUUCAAAUUUAUUUUAUGGCUGCUAAGUUAUGUAUUAUAUUUAAAGACUUUAUGCACUUUUAAAAUGUUUUUUAAAAUCUGUAGUUUCUUUGGUACUUCUGGAGUUUCAGGUUUUUAGUUCCAUUUGAAAUUGAUUUUGCUUUAAGAUGUGAAAUUAGAGUCCAAAUUUGAUGGGGUUUUGUUUUUUAACAGAAGGUUAUCUAGUUGUCCCAACAUGUUUCCCAAAAAGGGGAAUAAUCCCUUUUUCCCAACACUUGAAGUAUUGUCUUUAGUGUUCAUUAAUCCCUAUAGAUAUUUGAGUUUAUUAUCAUUAUUAUUAUUAUUAUUAUUGUUUUUGCCUUGGAAUUCUCAUUCUAUGUGGGUUGGAUAAAUUCAGGCCCCACUUCCAGUCUUCCUUCCCCCAAGCUACCUGCAAACCCUGGAGUUAAGGCCCAUGCGCUCAGUCCACGGUGUUGUUGAGAGCUUUUGAUAAUAUCUCAAAUUUCAGAAGCAAGAUUGUACUUUUAGUCCCUUAUGGAAUCUUACUAUUCAAGAGAUUAUCUGGUUCGGCCUCAGCUUACUUUAGGCAGGUAAAGUAAUUUCCCAAAUUUAUAUUUGAGGGAUCUAAGGACUAUAGAAAUUGAGACUUGCUCAUUGUUAUUUGUCGGGGGGAUCCUCUAGAACCCAAGAAUCUGUCUUCUUGAGGGGUAUUCUUUCAGUUUUACUAUACUACAUUCUCUCUAAAAGUCUUGGGACUUAUUGGACCUAAGUAUAAAGAAAUAUUUAUUAGUUCAGUUAAUCACUUUUACCUUUUGCUUCAUUUGUUAAUAGGUUCAUUAUAAUCUUAUUUGAAAUAAAUUACCCAAUACUAAGUAUUAUUAGAUCAAUUUAUAAUUACAAAAGUUUAUUGUGAAAACAGGCCUGAAAACUGCAUUGUUUAUAAACGUCAGUGAAUUAAAGUUCAUCUUGAGAUCUGUGGUUUUUGUUUUGUUUUGUUUUGUUUUGUUUAAUUUAAAUUUCAAAAAAAAAAAAAUUCUUCUUUUUCCCCCCUCCCCCCAAAGAUGGGGUUUCUCCAUGAUGGCCAGGCUGGUCUUGAAUUCCUGAUGACCUUAGGUGAUCCACCCACCUCAGCCUCCCAAAGUGCUAGGAUUACAGGCAUGAGCUACCACGCCCGGCGAAAUCUAUGGUUUUUAAACAGUGAGAAUAGCUAAAAUAUCCAUUCAGAUACACUAAGGUAGCUAUAUAAUCAUCCUAAUAAUCACAAAAUUAUCUGUUACUACAUAUUUUAUUUACUUCAUUCUGACAUUUUCUGUUUAUUAAAUUAUUUAAAACAUUUUACAAUGAGCAUAUGUUGUUACCGUUUCAAGAAUAUGUCACCUCAUUCUGAUUGUAUUAAAGUAAGCAGUUUUAGGAUACAGUAACAGGUUUAUUGAACUUUAAAAUAUCUUAGCCACAAGUUGGGUUGACUUU